rnacentral:rRNA from 1 species
CAUCUGGUUCUCUCCGAAAUAUAUUUAGGUAUAGCGUCGAGUGAUUGCGUUUCGGCCGUAGAGCACUGUUUGGAUUAGGGGCCCUACCAGGUUACCGACUUCAGGCAAACUCCGAAGACCGUUACGGUUAACUCGGCAGUCAGUGUGCGGGGGAUAAACUUCGUACGCGAGAGGGAAACAACCCAGACCAUCAGCUAAGGACCCUAAGUGUUAACUAAGUGGCAAACGAUGUCCGAAUGCAGAGACAACCAAGAGGUUGGCUUAGAAGCAGCCACCCUUAAAAGAGUGCGUAACAGCUCACUGGUCAAGUGUUCGGGCGCGGAUAAUUCAACGGGGCUCAAGUUAACCUCCGAAGCUAUGGGUGUGCAGGCCUGCGGGCUCUGUACGCGGUAGGAGAGCGUUCCAGCUGCGUGAAGCGGAUUCGUAAGGCUCCGUGGAGCGGCUGGAAGUGAGAAUGCUGGCAUGAGUAACGAAAGUGGAGUGAGAAUCUCCACCACAGAUGGUCCAAGGUUUCCUGGGUAAAGUUCGUCUGCUCAGGGUUAGUCGGGACCUAAGGCGAGGCCGAAAGGCGUAGCCGAUGGCCAACAGGUUGAUAUUCCUGUACCACGUUGUCUCCGUUAUGACCGAUGGGGGGACGGGGAAGGAUAAGGGAACCCAGGCGAUGGUAGUCCUGGGGCAAGUACGUAGCUAGUCGCUGUAGGAAAAUCCGCAGCGGCGUUUUGACGCGAGGUGCGAUGCCAGCUGGCGUAUGCCGGCAAGUCUCUGAUUCCAUGCCUCCAAGAAAAGCCUCUAGGCAGGAUUCGCGUGCCCGUACCGAUAACCGACACAGGUGGACAAGUAGAGAAUACUAAGGUGAGCGAGCUAACUCUCGUUAAGGAACUCGGCAAAAUCGUCCCGUAACUUCGGGAGAAGGGACGCCCCGUUAGAGUGAACUCCAUCCGGAGGGAGCUCGAGGGGGCCGCAGUGAAUUGGUCCAACCGACUGUUUACCAAAAACACAGGGCUCUGCUAAGUCGUAAGACGACGUAUAGGGUCUGACGCCUGCCCGGUGCCGGAAGGUUACGUGGACUUGUUAGCUCUUCGGAGCGAAGCAGCGAAACUAAGCCCCGGUAAACGGCGGCCGUAACUAUAACGGUCCUAAGGUAGCGAAAUUCCUUGUCGGGUAAGUUCCGACCUGCACGAAUGGCGUAACGAGUUGGACGCUGUCUCAACGAGAGGCUCGGUGAAAUUAAAGUCUCGGUGAAGAUGCCGAGUACCCGCAGCUAGACGGAAAGACCCCGUGAACCUUUACUGCAACUUGAUAUUGGAGUUUGGGGUAUCUCGCUCAGGAUAGGUGGGAGACUUUGAACCAGCGACUUUGGUUGUUGGGGAGUCACCCUUGAGAUACCACCCUUGGUGCUCUGAGCUAAAAAAAAAG